rnacentral:rRNA from 1 species
CUUUCGGAUUGUAAACCUCUGUCACUAGGGAAGAAAAACUAGCCGUUAAAUAGCGUCUAGUCUGACUUAACCUGGAGAGGAAGCAGUGGCUAACUCCGUGCCAGCAGCCGCGGUAAUACGGAGACUGCAAGCGUUAUUCGGAUUCACUGGGCGUAAAGGGUGCGCAGGCGGCCGUAUGUGUUAGGUGUGAAAGCCCGAGGCUUAACCUCGGAAUUGCGCCUAAAACUAUAUGGCUAGAGUAUUGGAGAGGGUAGCGGAAUUCACGGUGUAGCAGUGAAAUGCGUAGAUAUCGUGAGGAACACCAGAGGCGAAGGCGGCUACCUGGACAAUUACUGACGCUCAGGCACGAAAGCGUGGGGAGCAAAAGGGAUUAGAUACCCCUGUAGUCCACGCCCU